rnacentral:rRNA from 1 species
UACAGAGGGUGCGAGCGUUAAUCGGAAUUACUGGGCGUAAAGCGUGCGUAGACGGUCAUGUAAGUCGGGUGUGAAAGCCCCGGGCUCAACCUGGGAAUUGCAUUCGAGACUGCAUGGCUAGGAUGCGGAAGAGGGAAGCGGAAUUUCCGGUGUAGCGGUGAAAUGCGUAGAUAUCGGAAGGAACAUCAGUGGCGAAAGCGGCUUCCUGGACCAGUACCGACGUUCAGGCACGAAAGCGUGGGGAGCAAACAGG